AUGGAGAGCGGUAGCGCGCGGGCCGUCCCGCCGUCGAAGUCCUCCGAGAGGAGAGUAACCUUCGGCGACGAAGAUUCAACCGAAGAGAAGAGAAGAAAGAUCGAGAGCGGCAGCGCGCGAGCCGUCGCGUCGGCGGGGGCUCCGCGGAGCAGAGUGCCCUCGGGUGAGGACGGGCGCCCGCUCGACAGCGUGAUGCGCGCCAGCCUCAUUCGCCACUUGAAGCAUGGCGACGGCUCUAUCUUCAGAAGCAACGGUUAUUGGACCAAAGUUUAUCGUCUCCAAGAUACCAGCGAGACUUGUCUGGAGCCAAUGAUGAUGACCGAGCCAUUAGCCUCCUGCAUGCCUGACAGGAUGGUUUGUGAAAGGCAACAUUUUCGCACCAUGCUGCAGAUAUUCUCCCUGAAGCUAGCUUACACUUCUUCACAUGUUACUGGCCCGGUCCAGUUGUACGGAUACGUGGCUGUCAGGGAUCUUUUGAACCCUAUGCGUAACUACAUCUUCAACCGCACAAGGGAUGAUCCUUUCGUCGUGGAGCAUGACGGCCUUAUCCGAAUGUCCGGCCCUAAGAGGGGCAUCAGAAUGGGGGCUCCCGUGCUGAUUGAGUUCGACAUGAAGGUCAAGAGAGGAGUCGGAGAAGCAGAAGAUGAUUUACAGCUCGUCGAUUGCGUUGCCUGCCUCAACGACAUAACCUCGAGACAUGCUACGAAGAACAGAAGACGGAUCGAUGGCGAUUGCGGGGCGGUGGACAUAGCCUAUGCGCUUCUGAGGGGCGCCGCGGAGGCCACCGUGCAGGUUGGGAUAUCAGAGCUGGCACAGGACAGUGGCUUGAUAAGGCUGAACGCAGCAUUGUUUUACACCAAGGAGUUGAGCGCGCAGAUCCAGCUGUUUGACGGAGUUGUCGCCGCCGAGGCGACUGAGCUUUGCAGGACUGUGCUUGCCGUGGCGAAGGGAGGUCAGUUGCUUGUAUCGUUGAUGCUCGAUCAGACUGGUGGCUCGGGUGAUUGCGCUUUCAGUCGUAGCUGCACCUUCCCUGUUCAAAAGCAUGGAAACCAUGUCUCCGUUUUCAAGCUUGGGCUGGCGGCUGUCGAGGUGAAGGUAACCUGGUCGACUCUGGACAUCCCCGGAAGCCUUUUGGGUCCAAAUUGCUUCCAGUGGGAGUUCAUGGCAGCUGAGGACGUUGAGUAUGAAGGUGACUGA
rnacentral:rRNA from 1 species